rnacentral:rRNA from 1 species
CCUUUGACGUUAGCGGCGGACGGGUGAGUAACACGUGGGUAACCUACCUAUAAGACUGGGAUAACUUCGGGAAACCGGAGCUAAUACCGGAUAAUAUUUCGAACCGCAUGGUUCGAUAGUGAAAGGUGGUUUUGCUAUCACUUAUAGAUGGACCCGCGCCGUAUUAGCUAGUUGGUAAGGUAACGGCUUACCAAGGCGACGAUACGUAGCCGACCUGAGAGGGUGAUCGGCCACACUGGAACUGAGACACGGUCCAGACUCCUACGGGAGGCAGCAGCA